ACGCAUUUUCCACCGUCGGUAGGACGCCGCGACGCGCACGGGUAACCCUUUCAAGAACGACUUUGAGUCCGGCCGCUGGAGGUGACCGGCGACGGCCCUUGUUUGGCUGUCGUGGGAGUUAUACCUGGCCGGUAAUCGAGUACGUCACCCUGCCCAGGCCUCAUGGGCUACUCCCUUCGGGGAGGCCCGAAACGAUGCCCUCCGAAAUGCGGAGCGGGAAACCCGGCUGGGUCAACGGGUCCCCUGCCUUACGCCAGGUAUUCGCCUGACGUUCGGUGUUGGGCUCGGAACCGGCGAGGCGGGUUCUUUCCGCGGAGGGUCGUCAUGGUUGGCGGCGAGUAGGUCGGUAACCCACCCGACCCGUCUUGAAACACGGACCAAGGAGUCUAACAUGUGCGCGAGUCAAUGGGUCCCUCAAAACCCAGAGGCGCAAUGAAACGUGAAGGCGCGGCCUCGUGCCGUGCCGAGUUGCGAUCCCGGGCCGCUCAGGGGUCCUAUGCAGGACUAGCCAAAUGCCUCGGCAUCUAAUUGGUGACGAGCAUGAAUGGAUUAACGAGAUUCCCACUGUCCCUAUCUACUAUCUAGCGAAACCACAGCCAAGGGAACGGGCUUGGAAAAAUCAGCGGGGAAAGAAGACCCUGUUGAGCUUGACUCUAGUCUGACUUUGUGAAGAGACAUGAGAGGUGUAGCAUAAGUGGGAGGCCGUGAACCCUCGCGGUUGUGUCGUGCCGUCAGUGAAAUACCACUACUUUCAUCGUUUCUUUACUUACUCGGUGAAGCGGAAAGCGGACCAUGAGUGUCCACGCUUCUAGCACUAAGUGCAAGGCCCUUCGUUGGCCCGCACGAUCUGUUCCGAGGACAGUGUCAGGCGGGGAGUUUGACUGGGGCGGUACAUCUGUCAAAUGGUAACGCAGGUGUCCUAAGGCGAGCUCAGCGAGACAGAAACCUCGCGUAGAGCAAAAGGGCAAAUGCUUGCUUGAUCUUGAUUUCAGUACGAUU
rnacentral:ncRNA from 1 species